GCUUAAUACAUGCAAGUCGAACGGUAACAGUCCCGGCAACGGGAGCUGACGAGUGGCGCACGGGUGCGUAACACGUAUGCAACCUACCCUUAACCGGGGCAUAACCCUGAGAAAUCGGGGCUAAUACCCCAUAGUAUUGUUUAGAGGCAUCUUAAGGCAAUUAAAGAUUUAUUGGUUAGGGAUGGGCAUGCGCCCCAUUAGUUAGUUGGUGAGGUAACGGCUCACCAAGGCGAUGAUGGGUAGGGGUUCUGAGAGGAUUAUCCCCCACACUGGUACUGAGACACGGACCAGACUCCUACGGGAGGCAGCAGUAAGGAAUAUUGGGCAAUGGAGGCAACUCUGACCCAGCCAUGCCGCGUGCAGGAAGACAGCCCUAUGGGUUUUAAACUGCUUUUCUAUGGGACUAACCACCUCUACGUGUAGGGGUUUGCAUGUACCAUAGGAAUAAGCAUCGGCUAACUCCGUGCCAGCAGCCGCGGUAAUACGGAGGAUGCGAGCGUUAUCCGGAUUUAUUGGGUUUAAAGGGUGCGUAGGCUGACAAAUAAGUCAGUGGUGAAAUACUUCGGCUUACCGGAGGGUUGCCAUUGAUACUGUUUGUCUGGAGUGUAAUCAAGUGGGCG
rnacentral:rRNA from 1 species